AAUUGUGUUAAGCAGCUGUCAGCUUUCUAAACCUGAACACUGAAGUAACUUUUCACAUUUUCGGCCCUGUCGCCAUUUUGUCUGAUGUUACAGUGUUAAGGAUCUACUGAGUUUGUAGUCAUUAGAUUCUCAGCAUGAAUUGCAGUCAAUAAUGUAUGCUUUGUUUUGUCUUUUCUAGUCUCCUGAUGAGGAGGCUUCAAUCAAUGGAGGACUGGAACUUGGCGUUGUACUAAUUGAAGAUGGAGAAGACAUGGUGGAACAUCAGUUGUUCUUGAAGAACAAAUCAUUUUGCAUGAUAUAAAGGACUUUCUCCGAGCCAUUGCUCUGCUGAUGGGUCUGCUGUCUGCACCCAACAUGGACUAUACCAAAGGUCUGAGCUACACUGAAGUCAUUCAAAGAUCUUCAUGGACAUUGAACUUAAUGAAAGUAACCUGUAAAGGAAGGAGCCUUUGCCCAACAUAUUAUUUUUUUCCCCUGAGCAUAAUGGGAGUAAGGUUGCAAUGGAUGCAAGAAAAGUCCUUCCUGAAAUGAUUUUUUUGUUUGGAAAAUAAAGGAAUUGUGGUUAAAA